rnacentral:lncRNA from 1 species
UGGUCACAUGGUCACAUAUGUUAUGGUAAUUACUCCUGCAAAAAAUUAUUGCAAUCUCUUUUUCCAAAGAGUGGAUGGCAUUAUUUGUCAUCAAAAUUGGGGGAAAAACAAAAUAUUGUUUGACUUAUUUUGAAUACAGCAUCAGAUAUUUAUUGGCAAAAAAACAUUCUGUAUUGUUCUUAAGCAUUUCUAUUUAGUAAACUUAGUUUGCAGAGACUUUCACCAUGUCACAGUAUGUGUAUGUGACAAAACGGGAAAUGCUAGAAAAAUGUAUUACUAUUGGUUUGUGAAUGAGUGUGUAAGAGAGAGGGUGCAGGAUGCUCUUAAUGUAUUGUCUCAAUAUCACUUUCAAAUAAAGAUGUUUGAAAUAGUGUCUGCAAUCUACAUUUUUGAUCUGCCUAAAUAGCUGCUGGCUUCAGCAGAACAUUAAUGCAAAUCUAAUGUACCUGCUGGUAUGAUUAGCUGAAUCAAAUGAUGGCAUUUAAGUAACACCUAAA